AGCGAACGCUGGCGGCAGGCCUAACACAUGCAAGUCGAACGAACUCUUCGGAGUUAGUGGCGGACGGGUGAGUAACACGUGGGAACGUGCCUUUUGGUUCGGAAUAACUCAGGGAAACUUGUGCUAAUACCGAAUGUGCCCUUCGGGGGAAAGAUUUAUCGCCAUUAGAGCGGCCCGCGUCUGAUUAGCUAGUUGGUGAGGUAACGGCUCACCAAGGCGACGAUCAGUAGCUGGUCAGAGAGGAUGACCAGCCACACUGGGACUGAGACACGGCCCAGACUCAUACGGGAGGCAGCAGUGGGGAAUCUUGCGCAAUGGGCGAUAGCAUGACGCAGCCAUGCCGCGUGAAUGAGGAAGGUCUUAGGAUUGUAAAAUUCCUUCACCGGGGACGAUAAUGACGGUACCCGGAGAAGAAGCCCCGGCUAACUUCGUG
rnacentral:rRNA from 1 species